GGGAAGCCGCGCCGGUCCGGGCGGGAGGGCGGAGUGUGAGCUCGUUCGGGCGCGCCCGGGACGGAGCUCCUGCCCUAGAGGACGUCCUGAGCUAGGCCAGGGCCCGGGGUAGGGCCGAGCCCAGGGGCCCUCGGGAGAACCGGCCGUGCCGCCGUCCACGCACAGGCGACCCCUGAUUCUCCUGGGUCCCGUCCCCUGCGGCCCAGUGUCAUCGUUCGGGCUGAUGUAUCUGAGCCAGGGGACCUCCAGGGAAGGUUGAUGUCCACAGCCAGGCAGAAACAGAGAAAACAGCACCCCUCCUUUCCCCCCCGGGGUGUGAGAGGAGGAAACUGAAGCUCAGACGGUAAGGUGCAUGUGACAUCUGUCAUCAUCAAGCACCAGUGAGCCCCUACUUCUUCACAGCAAUUCUUUGCUACUGACCGAGGAUGUAAGCUCGAUGAAGGCAAAGCUAUCAAGGGAUCUUCGCCUUCCUUUCGGAUGCACCGCCAGCCCUUGGAACCGCCCGUGGCAUUUUUUUUUUUUCCCGCCCGUGGCAUUUUGCCAGCGCUCAGUCAAUCUGCGUCCGGUGAAGGGACGAGCGGAUACGAGACGCAGGACUGCGGGCGGCAGCCUCCGGGCUUCCGCGAGCUCCCGGGGACCGCUCGAGGGCGGGCACGCGUUCAAGGUCCGGGGCGCGGCCGCAGCAAG